rnacentral:rRNA from 1 species
ACGAAGGGAGCUAGCGUUGUUCGGAGUUACUGGGCGUAAAGGGCGCGUAGGCGGUUUGACAAGUCAGAUGUGAAAGCCCCGGGCUUAACCCGGGAACUGCGUUUGAGACUGUUUUACUUGAAUUCGGUAGAGGUUAGUGGAAUUCCCAGUGUAGAGGUGAAAUUCGUAGAGAUUGGGAAGAACAUCCGUGGCGAAGGCGGCUAACUGGACCGACAUUGACGCUGAGGCGCGAAAGCGUGGGGAGCAAACAG